GUGGUCAGGAUAGCUCAGCUGGUAGAG
rnacentral:tRNA from 1 species